AUGAUUUUGGUUUAUCUCAUCAAAAAUGGAAAGCCUGUUGAAGUUAAUAUUUGGGACACAGAGAAGAUGAUGACAACAUUCACCCUCAGAGAGGUCCGGACUGAAGAUGCUGGGACAUACAGUUGUGUUGUAUUGUUAAACAUACUCCCUUACCAUGGAAUGACACUUCAUCAAAAUAUUAAAGUCAAUCUUAAGAUUACUGCGACAUCUAAUAGCAGCAUUGACAAAGUCAUAAUUGUCAUAAUGUGCGCUAUCAUAGUGUUGCUCCUCAGUCUGUUUCUGGGAAUCUGGGCACUGAUCCGAAAACGAGGUACCACUUUUUCUAGAUCUGCAAACACUGACACAUUUCACUUUGUUGAACUGUUCUGUUUAAAUCCUAAAACUCAUUUUCUUUCUGGUAGGAUGUCUUGGAAUCCACAACGAAAGGUCAGUUUGAGAAGUUACUAGAAAUUAAAAUAAAUGAGAAAUUAAAAUAUAUCAGAUAUUAGAUUAAGAACAAUUUUAAUGCAUUCCUAAUCAACAGAUCCUCGAAAAACGAGACAGAGCUCAGAGGAACAGAAAUGUUCUAUGAAGGUACUCAUUGCAUGGUUCUUGUUUCUUGUUGAAUUAUUUCCUAUGGAAAACAAAAGGUUUGGGUAGGCCGUCGCUAUACAUAACAGCUGAGCUCAUGGAUUUCCAUUAACUCAUGUUGUUUAUUAACUUUCCUACAUUGCAAAGUCAGCCUGAUUUCAUGAGAAAAUCUGACUACUUUACGAUGUGCAAAUAUCUUAUGAACUGGUACAGUUUUUAGAAAAAAUGUAAGCAUGAAGCUUUAUCAGUAGGGCAUAUAUAGAUCGAAUGUACAAUACAAUACAAAUUAGAUAUUGUGCUGGUCCAGUCAUUCUUAAAAGUUUUAGAUAUUUCUGUACAUAAAUGUAAGUGGCGGUGGUACAUAUUCUAAAGGGAUAGUUCACCCAAAAAUGACAAUUCUUUCAUCAUUUGUGUACCCUUAUGUCAUUCCAAACCUGGAUUAUACUUUCUGUGGAGCACAAAAGUUUAAGAUAAGAAUCCUCAGAAAAACUAUAUAUAUAUCUGCUACAAAUAUAGACAUUUUAAAUAUUUUUAUCUGCUAAAUGUUAAUUUGUAAGCAUUUAGCAGUAUACCACAAUUCUACAAUACAGCUAACCUAAAAGCUAAAGAAAUGGACUAAAAGCUCUAAAACUCCAAUUUCUCUACUCUCUCUUCUGUAACUUUGUAUGUUACAUUAACAAAUCUUCUGUAACUUUGUAUGUUACAUUAACAAAUCUGUCUUCCAGAAAUUGACACACCUUACACAUCUGGUACUGGUGACAUACAACCUGUUGUCUGGUAAGCCAGUAAUCUAUGUAUGAAUAUGCUUUGUGCUGUUUUAUCUUUGUGCUGUUUUCAUCUCUUAUUUUUCAUACUUCUGACAGAUUUCAUAUGUCUUUUCUCUUGUCUGUUGCAAUUUCGGCUUACAUAUGAAUGAUUGAUUAGUUUCUCUCUCUCUCUUUUUCUUAUUUACUUUUUCCACACAAAUGCUGUAAAUCAAUGUCCAUAAUGACUCAGGACUGCCUCAGAGUGUGAUGAAAGUUCUUCUGAAAGUGGUAGGUCUGCACUGAAUGAAUGAAUAAGUGAAUGAAUGAGUGAAUUUUGUGUAAUUAUUGAAGAAUUAUCUUACAGUAUUAUAAAACACAAUAAUAUAUACACAUAAACGUAGAUAUUUUGUGCUGUUCAAUUAUAAUGACUAGCUGCGUCUGCAUUACACGAAUGUCUUGUAUUUUUACAGAUGGAGAGUAUAAUGAUGUGGGAUGUGCAGUAUAGCACCUGCAAGCAUUACAGUAUGAUUAAAUUAUACUGUUGCAACUUUGUGAUGUUAUCUAUGCUUUUGCUAUUUUACAACUGUUGCUUUUUGUGGUUUAUUUUAGCUUGUCCUUUUAAGUUUCUAUUUUAAUUUACUAUUAUCUGUUUAUUGUCACUUGUUUUUUUUUAUAACACUGACCAACUGACUGUUGACUAUCGCUUUAGUCACUGUGCACAUUUUUUUCAUGUAAACAUUACUGUAAAUUAUCUUUCAAGACUAGAAAUUAACUCUCAGAAUUCAUAGCAAAAUACAAUAUACAUAAUGUUAAUGUAACAUUAAAUUUUAGAAUACAAACUGAUGUUGGUUUUAUUUUUUAUUUUUUUUAGUAUUAUUAUUAUUUUUAUUUAAUCUGCACUGUGUUAGUGUUUUUACAAAUGUACUGAAGAAUAUCUCACAAUAAAAUGCUUGGAUUUUACAAAUAUU
rnacentral:lncRNA from 1 species